UAGGUAGGUAGGGAGACGGGCAGGUAGGUAGACAGGUAGGUAUGUAGAUAAGUAGGUAGGCAGGUAGGUAGAUAGGUAGUUAGGUAGGCAGGUAGAUAGGUAAGUAGGUAGGUAGUUAGGCAGGUACAUAGAUAGGUAGGUAGGCAGGUAAAUAGGUAGCUAGAUAGGCAGGUAGAUAGGUAGGUAGGCAGGUACAUAGGUAGUUAGGCAGGUACAUAGAUAGGUAGGUAGAUAGGUAGGCAGGCAGAUAGGUAGGUAGGCAGGUAGGUAGGUAAGUAGAUAGGUAGGCAGGUAGGUAGGUAAGUAGAUAGGUAGGCAGGUAGAUAGGUAGUUAGAUAGGUAAGCAGGCAGGUAGAUAGGCAGGUAGGUAGGUAGGCAGGUAGAUAUGUAAGUAGGUAGGCAGGUAGAUAGGCAGGUAGGUAGGUAGGCAGGUAGGUAGGUAUGUAGGUAGGCAGGUAGGCAGGUAGAUAUGUAAGUAGGUAGGCAAGUAGAUAAGCAGGUAGGUAGGUAGACAGGUAGGCAGGUAGGUAGGUAUGUAGGUAGGCAGGUAGGUAUGUAGGUAGGCAGGCAGGCAGGUAGAUAGGUAGGUAGAUAGAUAGGCAGGUAGGUAGGUAGGUUGACAGGUAGGUAGGUAGCAUGACUACAGGGAGAUGAAGCCUGCUUUCAACAGCGCCGCUGCAGAACACAUCAGAUAGAAAAAGAAAACAACCUCGCUUCACAUUAAUGGAUGAGGCGCAGUCACGGUGGGUCUGCGCACCUCACUGGGAAGUGACCGUUUUCUACCCCACCAUUGUUUCCUAU
rnacentral:lncRNA from 1 species